rnacentral:rRNA from 1 species
CCUACGGGGAGCAGCAGUGGGGAAUAUUGGACAAUGGGGGCAACCCUGAUCCAGCCAUGCCGCGUGUGUGAAGAAGGCCCUCGGGUUGUAAAGCACUUUCAGUGAGGAAGAACGCCUGGUGGUUAAUACCCAUCAGGAAAGACAUCACUCACAGAAGAAGCACCGGCUAACUCCGUGCCAGCAGCCGCGGUAAUACGGAGGGUGCGAGCGUUAAUCGGAAUUACUGGGCGUAAAGCGCGCGUAGGUGGCUUGAUAAGCCGGUUGUGAAAGCCCCGGGCUCAACCUGGGAACGGCAUCCGGAACUGUCAAGCUAGAGUGCAGGAGAGGAAGGUAGAAUUCCCGGUGUAGCGGUGAAAUGCGUAGAGAUCGGGAGGAAUACCAGUGGCGAAGGCGGCCUUCUGGACUGACACUGACACUGAGGUGCGAAAGCGUGGGUAGCAAACAGGAUUAGAUACCCGUGUAGUC